rnacentral:rRNA from 1 species
GAUGAACGCUGGCGGCGUGCCUAAUACAUGCAAGUCGAACGCAUUGUGGUUGAAAUGAUAUGAAGAACUUGUUCAGAUUUGAUUUUCAACAUUGCAAUGAGUGGCGAACGGGUGAGUAACACGUGGGAAACCUACCUCUUAGCAGGGGAUAACAUUUGGAAACAAAUGCUAAUACCGUAUAAUAAUUAAAACCGCAUGGUUUUAGUUUAAAAGAUGGUCUUGCUAUCACUAAGAGAUGGUCCCGCGGUGUAUUAGUUAGUUGGUGAGGUAAUGGCUCACCAAGACAAUGAUACAUAGCCGAGUUGAGAGACUGACCGGCCACAAUGGGACUGAGACACGGCCCAUACUCCUACGGGAGGCAGCAGUAGGGAAUCUUCCACAAUGGACGAAAGUACUGAUGGAGCAACGCCGCGUGUGUGAUGAAGGUUUCGGCUCGUAAAACACUAGUUGUAAGAGAAGAAU